rnacentral:rRNA from 1 species
GACGAAGGUGGCGAGCGUUGUUCGGAAUCACUGGGCAUAAAGCGCACGUAGGCGGUGACGUAAGUCGGGUGUGAAAUCCCUCGGCCUAACCGAGGAACUGCGCCCGAUACUGCGUUGCUUGAGGACCAGAGGGGUGCAUGGAAUUUCCGGUGGAGCGGUGAAAUGCGUUGAUAUCGGAAGGAACUCCGGCGGCGAAAGCGAUGCACUGGCUGGUUUCUGACGCUGAGGUGCGAAAGCUAGGGGAGCAAACAGG